rnacentral:rRNA from 1 species
GUAGGUGAACCUGCGGAGGGAUCAUUAUCGAGUUUACAACUCCCUAACCCACUGUGAACCUACCUAUCGUUGCUUCGGCGGGACCGCCCCGGCGCCGACUCUCAGGCCCGGAACCAGGCGCCCGCCGGGGGCCAUCAAACCUCUGUUUUUUUACGUUUACAUCUCUGAUUACGCAAAAACAAUGAAUCAAAACUUUCAACAACGGAUCUCUUGGCUCUGGCAUCGAUGAAGAACGCAGCGAAAUGCGAUAAGUAAUGUGAAUUGCAGAAUUCAGUGAAUCAUCGAAUCUUUGAACGCACAUUGCGCCCGCCAGUAUUCUGGCGGGCAUGCCUGUCCGAGCGUCAUUUCAACCCUCAGGCCCCGCCUGGCGUUGGGGAUCGGCGCCGCGCAACCCCCCCUCCCGGGGGUGCGCUGCCGGCCCUGAAAUACAGUGGCGGUCUCGCUGCGGCCCUCCUCUGCGUAGUAGCAACACUCGCACUGGAAGCGCGGCGCGGCCACGCCGUAAAACACCCAACUUCUGAAAGUUGACCUCGGAUCAGGUAGGAAUACCCGCUGAACUUAAGCAUAUCAAUAAGCGGAGGA